GACGAACCGUCCUAACGUUGUUCGGAAUCACUGGGCUUAAAGGGCGCGUAGGCGGGCUCUCAAGUCCGGGGUGAAAUCUUUCGGCUCAACCGGAAAAUAGCCUUGGAUACUGGGAGUCUCGAGGGAGGCAGGGGCGGGUGGAACUUCCGGUGGAGCGGUGAAAUGCGUUGAUAUCGGAAGGAACGCCGGUGGCGAAAGCGACCCGCUGGACCUCUUCUGACGCUGAGGCGCGAAAGCCAGGGGAGCAAACGGG
rnacentral:rRNA from 1 species